GAUGAACGCUGGCGGCGUGCCUAAUACAUGCCAGUCAAGCGAACGGACGAGAAGCUUGCUUCUCUGAUGUUAGCGGCGGACGGGUGAGUAACACGUGGAUAACCUACCUAUAAGACUGGGAUAACUUCGGGAAACCGGAGCUAAUACCGGAUGAUAUUUUGAACCGCAUGGUUCAAAAGUGAAAGACGGUCUUGCUGUCACUUAUAGAUGGAUCCGCGCUGCAUUAGCUAGUUGGUAAGGUAACGGCUUACCAAGGCAACGAUGCAUAGCCGACCUGAGAGGGUGAUCGGCCACACUGGAACUGAGACACGGUCCAGACUCCUACGGGAGGCAGCAGUAGGGAAUCUUCCGCAAUGGGCGAAAGCCUGACGGAGCAACGCCGCGUGAGUGAUGAAGGUCUUCGGAUCGUAAAACUCUGUUAUUAGGGAAGAACAUAUGUGUAAGUAACUGUGCACAUCUUGACGGUACCUAAUCAGAAAGCCACGGCUAACUACGUG
rnacentral:rRNA from 1 species